CUCAAAUGAAUUGACGGGGACCCGCACAAGCGGUGGAUGAUGUGGAUUAAUUCGAUGCAACGCGAAAAACCUUACCUACCCUUGACAUGUCUGGAAUGCCGAAGAGAUUUGGCAGUGCUCGCAAGAGAACCGGAACACAGGUGCUGCAUGGCUGUCGUCAGCUCGUGUCGUGAGAUGUUGGGUUAAGUCCCGCAACGAGCGCAACCCUUGUCAUUAGUUGCUACGAAAGGGCACUCUAAUGAGACUGCCGGUGACAAACCGGAGGAAGGUGGGGAUGACGUCAAGUCCUCAUGGCCCUUAUGGGUAGGGCUUCACACGUCAUACAAUGGUCGGGACAGAGGGUCGCCAACCCGCGAGGGGGAGCCAAUCCCAGAAACCCGAUCGUAGUCCGGAUCGCAGUCUGCAACUCGACUGCGUGAAGUCGGAAUCGCUAGUAAUCGCGGAUCAGCAUGUCGCGGUGAAUACGUUCCCGGGUCUUGUACACACCGCCCGUCACACCA
rnacentral:rRNA from 1 species